UUAAGCGACUAAGCGUACACGGUGGAUGCCCUGGCAGUCAGAGGCGAUGAAGGACGUGCUAAUCUGCGAUAAGCGUCGGUAAGGUGAUAUGAACCGUUAUAACCGGCGAUUUCCGAAUGGGGAAACCCAGUGUGUUUCGACACACUAUCAUUAACUGAAUCCAUAGGUUAAUGAGGCGAACCGGGGGAACUGAAACAUCUAAGUACCCCGAGGAAAAGAAAUCAACCGAGAUUCCCCCAGUAGCGGCGAGCGAACGGGGAGCAGCCCAGAGCCUGAAUCAGUAUGUGUGUUAGUGGAAGCGUCUGGAAAGGCGCGCGAUACAGGGUGACAGCCCCGUACACAAAAAUGCACAUGCUGUGAGCUCGAUGAGUAGGGCGGGACACGUGGUAUCCUGUCUGAAUAUGGGGGACCGAUCCUCCAAGGCUAAAUACUCCUGACUGACCGAUAGUGAACCAGUACCGUGAGGGAAAGGCGAAAAGAACCCCGGCGAGGGGAGUGAAAAAGAACCUGAAACCGUGUACGUACAAGCAGUGGGAGCACGCUUAGGCGUGUGACUGCGUACCUUUUGUAUAAUGGGUCAGCGACUUAUAUUCUGUAGCAAGGUUAACCGAAUAGGGGAGCCGAAGGGAAACCGAGUCUUAACUGGGCGUUAAGUUGCAGGGUAUAGACCCGAAACCCGGUGAUCUAGCCAUGGGCAGGUUGAAGGUUGGGUAACACUAACUGGAGGACCGAACCGACUAAUGUUGAAAAAUUAGCGGAUGACUUGUGGCUGGGGGUGAAAGGCCAAUCAAACCGGGAGAUAGCUGGUUCUCCCCGAAAGCUAUUUAGGUAGCGCCUCGUGAAUUCAUCUCCGGGGGUAGAGCACUGUUUCGGCAAGGGGGUCAUCCCGACUUACCAACCCGAUGCAAACUGCGAAUACCGGAGAAUGUUAUCACGGGAGACACACGGCGGGUGCUAACGUCCGUCGUGAAGAGGGAAACAACCCAGACCGCCAGCUAAGGUCCCAAAGUCAUGGUUAAGUGGGAAACGAUGUGGGAAGGCCCAGACAGCCAGGAUGUUGGCUUAGAAGCAGCCAUCAUUUAAAGAAAGCGUAAUAGCUCACUGGUCGAGUCGGCCUGCGCGGAAGAUGUAACGGGGCUAAACCAUGCACCGAAGCUGCGGCAGCGACACUAUGUGUUGUUGGGUAGGGGAGCGUUCUGUAAGCCUGUGAAGGUGUACUGUGAGGUAUGCUGGAGGUAUCAGAAGUGCGAAUGCUGACAUAAGUAACGAUAAAGCGGGUGAAAAGCCCGCUCGCCGGAAGACCAAGGGUUCCUGUCCAACGUUAAUCGGGGCAGGGUGAGUCGACCCCUAAGGCGAGGCCGAAAGGCGUAGUCGAUGGGAAACAGGUUAAUAUUCCUGUACUUGGUGUUACUGCGAAGGGGGACGGAGAAGGCUAUGUUGGCCGGGCGACGGUUGUCCCGGUUUAAGCGUGUAGGCUGGUUUUCCAGGCAAAUCCGGAAAAUCAAGGCUGAGGCGUGAUGACGAGGCACUACGGUGCUGAAGCAACAAAUGCCCUGCUUCCAGGAAAAGCCUCUAAGCAUCAGGUAACAUCAAAUCGUACCCCAAACCGACACAGGUGGUCAGGUAGAGAAUACCAAGGCGCUUGAGAGAACUCGGGUGAAGGAACUAGGCAAAAUGGUGCCGUAACUUCGGGAGAAGGCACGCUGAUAUGUAGGUGAGGUCCCUCGCGGAUGGAGCUGAAAUCAGUCGAAGAUACCAGCUGGCUGCAACUGUUUAUUAAAAACACAGCACUGUGCAAACACGAAAGUGGACGUAUACGGUGUGACGCCUGCCCGGUGCCGGAAGGUUAAUUGAUGGGGUUAGCGCAAGCGAAGCUCUUGAUCGAAGCCCCGGUAAACGGCGGCCGUAACUAUAACGGUCCUAAGGUAGCGAAAUUCCUUGUCGGGUAAGUUCCGACCUGCACGAAUGGCGUAAUGAUGGCCAGGCUGUCUCCACCCGAGACUCAGUGAAAUUGAACUCGCUGUGAAGAUGCAGUGUACCCGCGGCAAGACGGAAAGACCCCGUGAACCUUUACUAUAGCUUGACACUGAACAUUGAGCCUUGAUGUGUAGGAUAGGUGGGAGGCUUAGAAGUGUGGACGCCAGUCUGCAUGGAGCCGACCUUGAAAUACCACCCUUUAAUGUUUGAUGUUCUAACGUUGACCCGUAAUCCGGGUUGCGGACAGUGUCUGGUGGGUAGUUUGACUGGGGCGGUCUCCUCCUAAAGAGUAACGGAGGAGCACGAAGGUUGGCUAAUCCUGGUCGGACAUCAGGAGGUUAGUGCAAUGGCAUAAGCCAGCUUGACUGCGAGCGUGACGGCGCGAGCAGGUGCGAAAGCAGGUCAUAGUGAUCCGGUGGUUCUGAAUGGAAGGGCCAUCGCUCAACGGAUAAAAGGUACUCCGGGGAUAACAGGCUGAUACCGCCCAAGAGUUCAUAUCGACGGCGGUGUUUGGCACCUCGAUGUCGGCUCAUCACAUCCUGGGGCUGAAGUAGGUCCCAAGGGUAUGGCUGUUCGCCAUUUAAAGUGGUACGCGAGCUGGGUUUAGAACGUCGUGAGACAGUUCGGUCCCUAUCUGCCGUGGGCGCUGGAGAACUGAGGGGGGCUGCUCCUAGUACGAGAGGACCGGAGUGGACGCAUCACUGGUGUUCGGGUUGUCAUGCCAAUGGCACUGCCCGGUAGCUAAAUGCGGAAGAGAUAAGUGCUGAAAGCAUCUAAGCACGAAACUUGCCCCGAGAUGAGUUCUCCCUGACUCCUUGAGAGUCCUGAAGGAACGUUGAAGACGACGACGUUGAUAGGCCGGGUGUGUAAGCGCAGCGAUGCGUUGAGCUAACCGGUACUAAUGAACCGUGAGGCUUAACCUU
rnacentral:rRNA from 1 species